UACGUAGGGUGCGAGCGUUAAUCGGAAUUACUGGGCGUAAAGUGUGCGCAGGCGGCAGAGCAAGUCGAGUGUGAAAGCCCCGGGCUUAACUUGGGAAUUGCGCUCGAAACUACUUUGCUGGAGUGUGGCAGAGGAAGGUGGAAUCCACGUGUAGCGGUGAAAUGCGUAGAGAAUGUGGAGGAACACCAAUGGCGAAGGCAGC
rnacentral:rRNA from 1 species